rnacentral:lncRNA from 1 species
AAUUGGAAAAAAAUAAAACCAGAUGUCUCAUCACAACCUCCGCUGACUUCGCUCUCGUUCCAUAACGCUCUGGCCUGGUCAUCCGCUUCCGCUCUGCCGGGACCGUCCAGUCUCCACAUUGCAGUUGGAGCCAUCUCCAAACGCAACUUUCUUAUGAGAAGAAAAUUUAGUGAUUUGCACUAGCCUUUGGGAAAAAUGCAGCUUACCUGCACGGAGACAAGACCAGCAUAAAUCCACUUGAUGCUUAGUUGCAGUUUGAAGAGAAAGAAGAAAAAGAAACCUAGAAAGGAUAAAUGGCUCUGCAGCAUGUCGAUGCAUUUACAGCACUCCUUAAAGAGAGUAUCACUGAAUUGCCCCAGGGACCCAUCAGUCAUUCUUCUCUUCUCGUCUUAUGCAGUGGCAGCAGGGAAAAUAUUCUAUGUAUCUGUCUCCUGAGACAACUGAUUGGUUCCCAGAAACAUCAUCGCCUCACGGAAGGACAAGUUAACUGGAUAUCCUAAAAGAACAUUGUAUACAA